UUCUAGAUCUAUCCUUCUUUAGCUUUGGACAUUCAUUUCUAUAGUGUCCAGGCUCUUUGCAUUCAUAACAUGUCACUUCCUUGUUGGGUCUGCCUCUGAAGGUUGAAUCUGGAUGUUCUCCCUUCUGUCCGGGCCUUCUGAAGUUUUUUUGUCUUUUUCUCCAGAACUAUUUGAUUCUUCUGGAAAGAAGAGAUACUUCUUCUUCAUCAUCAGAAUCUUCAUUCUAAGAGUCAUCAUCUUCCUCUUUAGCUUGAAAGGCUUUGUUCCUUUCUAGAUUUCUUCUUUCUGAUCUAGACUUUAGAGCAACAUAUUUGCUUUUCUUCUGAGAU
rnacentral:lncRNA from 1 species